rnacentral:rRNA from 1 species
CAAUACAGCCAUAUCACCCUGCAGCCCAACACCGGUUACUCACUGAAGCUAAGCAGGGCUGAGCAGUACUUGUAUGGGAGACCACAUGGGAAAACUAGGUUUCUGUUGC